ACGGGUGAGUAAUGCCUAGGAAUCUGCCUGGUAGUGGGGGAUAACGCUCGGAAACGGACGCUAAUACCGCAUACGUCCUACGGGAGAAAGCAGGGGACCUUCGGGCCUUGCGCUAUCAGAUGAGCCUAGGUCGGAUUAGCUAGUUGGUGAGGUAAUGGCUCACCAAGGCGACGAUCCGUAACUGGUCUGAGAGGAUGAUCAGUCACACUGGAACUGAGACACGGUCCAGACUCCUACGGGAGGCAGCAGUGGGGAAUAUUGGACAAUGGGCGAAAGCCUGAUCCAGCCAUGCCGCGUGUGUGAAGAAGGUCUUCGGAUUGUAAAGCACUUUAAGUUGGGAGGAAGGGCAGUAACCUAAUACGUUAUUGUUUUGACGUUACCGACAGAAUAAGCACCGGCUAACUCUGUGCCAGCAGCCGCGGUAAUACAGAGGGUGCAAGCGUUAAUCGGAAUUACUGGGCGUAAAGCGCGCGUAGGUGGUUUGUUAAGUUGAAUGUGAAAUCCCCGGGCUCAACCUGGGAACUGCAUCCAAAACUGGCAAGCUAGAGUAGGGCAGAGGGUGGUGGAAUUUCCUGUGUAGCGGUGA
rnacentral:rRNA from 1 species